GUGUAACACCCUGAAACGUCCCCCCAGGAGCGGCAGCCUGGGAACAGUUCAGGGCCUGUGCUGUUUCAUUACUUCAUGGAUGACGCUGUGAGAGCUAUAAACUACCCUGUAAACUGCACCCCUGUGUGAGUGCUUUGAGCAAUUAUGACCGGCCUUGGAGAGCAGCAAGGGCUGGAGUGCAUUUCAGAAACACCCAGAGAGGAGUGAAGGCUGUGGCCACAGGACUUCUGGGAUGAGGCUGCACAGCUGACCUGAUGGAUCUGAGAGACAGAGAGAACGAGGAGGCAGCAGUUCCCACAGGCCCUGGUUCCCAGCAGAGCCUGCCCUACGUGGCGUCAGUUUCAUUUUCUGUCCCCUGUCCCCUGAUCUGUGUUCGGCUGGCUCCGUGGAGAUGAACUCAUUCUCUGCUGCUGGCAUGGGCGAAUGCCGCAGCAAGGUUGAACAUCCCCUCGCCAUCUGGGUUCCCUGGUGGCCUGAAGCCCCUGAUUAGGAACUAAAAGACCAGGCUGGCAGCUCCUGAGGCUCCUGACCUUUUCUCCACUCUUCCAUCUGCCCCGGGCUCAGACCCACCCAUCAUUCAAGGGGUACCUCCUGGCCCACCCCAGCAGGCCAACUGCCCAGAUGGAGUGUCAAGCAUCACUGAGCACACAGUUCCCUAUUCCUGCCUUGCCUGGACAAGGCUCCCAUUUCAAGCAGCUCCAAUAGGCAGUCCUCUAGCCUCUGUCUGCACACUUCCCAUGAUGGGGUGCUCACUACUUUCCAAGUUGGCAUUUCCAGCCAGUUUAUACCGCUAUAAUAUUCUCAUUUGCAA
ensembl:lncRNA